rnacentral:misc_RNA from 1 species
UUUCCGUAGGUGAACCUGCGGAAGGAUCAUUACUGAGUGAGGGCCCCUCGGGGUCCAACCUCCUACCCGUGUUUAACGAACCUUGUUGCUUCGGCGGGCCCGCCUCACGGCCGACGGGGGGCAUUUGCCCCCGGGCCCGCGCCCGCCGAAGCCACCUGUGAACGCUGUCUGAAGUAUGCAGUCUGAGACAAUUAUUAAAUUAAUUAAAACUUUCAACAACGGAUCUCUUGGUUCCG